CUGGCCUUUGCACCGUGCAUAGAGGAUCUCGCAUACCAGCAGUGUGGCUGGUGCUUGGGAGAAUGGACGGGGUAGCAAAAACCUCAGGUCCUGGAAGUAGACUUGAGGGCAUCCAGGGAGAGUAACACCUGGACAAGAGCCAAAGUGAGGUUUUCUAAAGCUUAUGGAAAAUAAGUGACAGACUUGAAUUGGUGAAGUGAGAGCUACUAAUGGAAGAAAUUUGAGUGUCCUAGCUAAUGGG